GUUUGGUCUUGACACGGUGUGCUUACUUAACCUUAAAUUUUGCUUUCGGAAAGAGGUUUUAGUGCUGUUUCUGUGGUGUGUUUUUGUUUUUUGUUUGGUGAAGGAUUUUUCUCUACAAUCGCUGUAGUCACUAGAGAAUAAUAAGUAUUAUUUUAUUUUUAAUUAAAAACCGAUCAGUGUCAUUUCCUACCUUGACGUUGGCAAAAUCUUCGAUACAAAUGAAGGAGCCAUAAACAAAAA